CGCGUAGGCGGUUCGUACAGUUGGAUGUGAAAUUCCCGGGCUCAACCUGGGGGCUGCAUUCAAUACGUACGGGCUUGAGUUCGGAAGAGGGUCGUGGAAUUCCCAGUGUAGAGGUGAAAUUCGUAGAUAUUGGGAAGAACACCGGUGGCGAAGGCGGCGACCUGGUCCGAUACUGACGCUGAGGCGCGAAAGCGUGGGGAGCAAACAGGAUUAGAUACCCUGGUAGUCCACGCUGUAAACGAUGUGUGCUGGAUGUUGGGGGGCCGUAGCCCUUCAGUGUCGUAGCUAACGCGAUAAGCACACCGCCUGGGGAGUACGGCCGCAAGGUUGAA
rnacentral:rRNA from 1 species